rnacentral:rRNA from 1 species
AACGAAGGGGGCUAGCGUUGUUCGGAAUUACUGGGCGUAAAGCGCACGUAGGCGGACUUGUAAGGCAGGGGUGAAAUCCCGGGGCUCAACCCCGGAACUGCCUUUGAUACUGCGAGUCUUGAGGUCGAGAGAGGUGAGUGUAAUUCCGAGUGUAGAGGUGAAAUUCGUAGAUAUUCGGAGGAACACCAGUGGCGAAGGCGGCUCACUGGCUCGAUACUGACGCUGAGGUGCGAAAGCGUGGGGAGCAAACAGG